UACGGAGGAUCCAAGCGUUAUCCGGAUUUAUUGGGUUUAAAGGGUGCGUAGGCGGUUUUAUAAGUUAGAGGUGAAAAUUCGGGGCUCAACUCCGGACGUGCCUCUAAUACUGUAUGACUAGAGAAUAGAUGCGGUAGGCGGAAUGUAUGGUGUAGCGGUGAAAUGCGUAGAGAUCAUACAGAACACCGAUUGCGAAGGCAGCAUACCGGUGCACAACUGACGCUCAGGCACGAAAGCGUGGGUAUCGAACAGG
rnacentral:rRNA from 1 species